rnacentral:rRNA from 1 species
CCUACGGGGGGCAGCAGUGGGGAAUAUUGCGCAAUGGGCGAAAGCCUGACGCAGCGACGCCGCGUGAGGGAUGAAGGUCUUCGGAUCGUAAACCUCUGUCAGCAGGGAAGAACGGUUACUGUGCUAAGCAGCAGUGAAUGGACGAUACCUGCAAAGGAAGCACCGGCUAACUCCGGGCCAGCAGCCGCGGUAAUACGGAGGGUGCGAGCGUUAAUCGGAAUUACUGGGCGUAAAGCGCUCGUAGGCGGUAUGUCAAGUCAAGGGUGAAAUCCCCGCGCUCAACUUGGGAACUGCCUUUGAAACUGGCAAACUGGAGUGUGUGAGAGGCUAGUGGAAUUCCAGGUGUAGGCGUGAAAUCCGUAGAUAUCUGGAGGAACAUCAGUGGCGAAGGCGACUCUCUGGCACAUAACUGACGCUGCGGUGCGAAAGCGUGGGUAGCAAACAGGAUUAGAUACCCUUGUAGUC